rnacentral:lncRNA from 1 species
GGUGACCCUAAGUUACGUUAAGUGUAUCUUACGUUUUCUGUCUUUUUCUUCUGGCAAUUUUCAUACAAGUCCUUAUAUUUAUUACUUUUAUAUUUAAGGAUGCAUUUGCCUUCUUCUAUCAAUUAUACACCUAUUUUUCAUUCUUUCUAAUGUUUUCUUUAUUUCUUUAAACAAUAAUAUAUGGUUAUCGAAUUCAUAUAAAUCUGUAAAUUCAGAAUAAAUUUUGGGUCCUAAAUUUAUUAUUCCCAUUCUUUCUUGUUCUAAUAGUUCUAUUUUUUGGGUUAUUUGAUUUAUAUAACUUGUUAUAAUAUUUUCCCAACCUAGAUUCAUAUGAUCUAUAGUUUCUGCUAAAUUAUGUAUCACAUUAAAAGCAUGUUGGUUCAUGGUAGUGCUUCUUUUUUAUACCAGUAUACUAAAAAUUUUAUAAAUUCAUCUAUAAAUUUCAUUUUCUUUUCUAUUAAAAUCUCACCUCCUAUAGUAUCUAUAUUUCUUUCUUGUAAUUCUUGAGUUAAUUCAAGCUCGAUAUUUCGGAUAUUAUUCUUCUCAGAUUUUAUAGACAUUAUUAAAUUUUUUAUUUCUUCUUUCUCAAAUACCUUUAAAGUAUAUAAGCUAUCUAUUAUAUUUUUUAUAGGAUCCAUGGCUCUGAUACCAUUUUCUGUAAUGUAAUAUAAAAUGUGUAAUAAAAACUAAUAAAAACUAAAAUAAAUUCAGUCAACAAAAUUAAACAAAACAAAUAAAUAAAUAAUAUUAAGUAGGUGAAUGAAAACUACUACUACUCGGAUAAUAGAAUUUUGAUGUAAAGAUAUAUCUAUUUUAUGUCUUUAUUAUUAUUAUUCAUCCAAAAGGGUAUAUCUAUCAUAUCUUGUAUUAUCAUUAUUUCUUAAAUAUAAGGCUAUAACUUCUUCUCCAUUAAUUAUAUUAGGUAUAUUUCCGGGAAAACUAGGAACAUAAAAAUCGUAAUAAUUAUUAUUAGUUUCUAUAAUAUAUGUAGGGUUAUUAAUCUGAUUUAAAAUUCCUAAAUUAUGGGUUAUGUUUACUGGAUAAUAGAAUAUUUCUACUUUUAUGAAAUAUAUAUUAUUAUUUAUUAUACUAGUGUAAUAUCUUGUUUCCCUGUAGGUGUUCAUGAUUACAAAAUAUUAUAUCGACUUAAGAUUUUAUAUUUCUAGUUCUUCAUUAUCUGAAUUAUCUAUAUAUUCUAUGUAUGAGGGUUCUAUUCUUAAACUUUCAUUUUCUAUUUUAGCUUUAAUUAUAUCAAUAGCUUCAUCUAUAGUUAACAUUGUAAUUAAGUGUUUUAGAUUAUCUAUUUCUAAAAUGUUUAAGAUUCUUCGUUUUAUUUCUGGUGGUAAUUCUAGUGUAUAUAUAGCUUCUAUCUCUUCUUUACUAAUAAGUUCUUCUUUACUAAAUAUGUAUGAACUUUGCUUAAAAGAUCCAAGAUUAAAAUCUAUUAUCAUCAUGUAGUUAUUAUAUGUUAUCCUAGUUGUAGGAUUUAUCAUUUUUUCUUUUGGAUUUCCACGUCCUAAUCUAACACUCAUAUUUUGAUAAACACUCAUUUUUCUUAUUUUUAACAAUUUUGAUUAAUAAUUUGAAUAAGAUUCACUUCUGAGAGAUGCUCAUCCACCAUCAAUCUCCUCAUCUACAAUCAUUACCAAACUUCCACCAAUAGAUAAGGUUAGAGAAUUAUUACCUAAGUUAUCCUUUUUUCUUCGUCUUAAGAUCUGUCUCCAGUGACCUGCAGCCUAUGCGUCCUUCAUUCCCUCAACGGCCUCCUGCCUUAACGGGAUCAAGCGGACUCCAAUGGCCUUUCUGUAUGGAUCUUGAUCUUCUUUCUUAGAAAUAAAGAUAAUUUUAGGUUUCUCUUUCCUUUCUAUGGGGUUGUUUGUUUAUGAUUGAUGAUGUAUUGAUUUCUGGUUUCGAGCUUAAGAGAAUUUAGCUAUUCAUUUUUCAGAGAGUUUUUUCACUAUCGAAAAU